UACGUAGGGGGCAAGCGUUGUCCGGAUUUAUUGGGCGUAAAGAGCGUGUAGGCGGCCAGAUAGGUCAGCUGUGAAACUCGAGGCUCAACCUCGAGACGUCGGUUGAAACCAUCUGGCUAGAGUCCGGAAGAGGAGAGUGGAAUUCCUGGUGUAGCGGUGAAAUGCGCAGAUAUCAGGAAGAACACCCGUGGCUAAGGCGGCUCUCUAGUACGGUACUGACGCUGAGACGCGAAAGCGUGGGGAGCGAACAGG
rnacentral:rRNA from 1 species